rnacentral:ribozyme from 14 species
AAAAAUAAAAAAGAACAAUUUUGGUUGGAAAAAUAGAUUACACCCUUUUUUUUUUUUU